rnacentral:rRNA from 1 species
ACGAACGCUGGCGGCGUGCCUAAUACAUGCAAGUCGAACGGUCUUUCUAUGGAAGCUUGCUUCCACUGAGAAGAUAGUGGCGAACGGGUGAGUAACACGUGGGUAACCUGCCCAUAAGAGGGGGAUAACAUCCGGAAACGGGUGCUAAUACCGCAUAGUUUUCUUGAUCGCAUGAUUGAGAAAGGAAAGACGGCCUUUGUGCUGUCGCUUAUGGAUGGACCCGCGGCGUAUUAGUUAGUUGGUGAGGUAACGGCUCACCAAGACGAUGAUACGUAGCCGACCUGAGAGGGUGAUCGGCCACAUUGGGACUGAGACACGGCCCAAACUCCUACGGGAGGCAGCAGUAGGGAAUCUUCCGCAAUGGACGAAAGUCUGACGGAGCAACGCCGCGUGAGUGAAGAAGGUUUUUCGGAUCGUAAAACUCUGUUGUCAGAGAAGAACAAGUUGGAGAGUAACUGCUCCAGCCUUGACGGUAUCUGACCAGAAAGCCACGGCUAACUACGUGCCAGCAGCAGC